GCCGAAUGGAGGAGGGACCGAGGGGAGAGGCUCGGUGGCUCAGGCUCCAAUGAAGGGCGGUGGCAUGGUCGAAGCUCUGACAACAGGUGAAGGUGGCGGUGGAGCGAAGGAUGGUCGGCGACGAGAUUCGAUCGAUAGAGAUAUGAAAACAAUGAAAAAUAGGAGACUUUUUCUCUGACAAAAUCUGAUGACUCCGAUCAUCGACAAUCGUGCUCACAGGCACGGGAGAAGGGAGAGAAGAGAAGAGAGGAAGAG
rnacentral:lncRNA from 1 species